rnacentral:rRNA from 1 species
UACAGAGGUCCCAAGCGUUGUUCGGAUUCAUUGGGCGUAAAGGGUGCGUAGGUGGCGCCGUAAGUCGGGUGUGAAAUUUCGGAGCUUAACUCCGAAACUGCAUUCGAUACUGCGGUGCUUGAGGACUGGAGAGGAGACUGGAAUUCAUGGUGUAGCAGUGAAAUGCGUAGAGAUCAUAAGGAAGACCAGUGGCGAAGGCGGGUCUCUGGACAGUUCCUGACGCUGAGGCACGAAGGUCAGGGGAGCAAACGGG